GGGCUCGUAGUGUAGUAGUUAACAUGUUCCGUUCGCAACGGAAAGAUGGCGGGUGCGAUUCCCGCCGAGUCCA
rnacentral:tRNA from 1 species